CUUAACACAUGCAAGUCGAACGGAAAGGCCCUUCGGGGUACUCGAGUGGCGAACGGGUGAGUAACACGUGGGUGAUCUGCCCUGCACUUUGGGAUAAGCCUGGGAAACUGGGUCUAAUACCGGAUAGGACCACGCGCUUCAUGGUGUGUGGUGGAAAGCUUUUGCGGUGUGGGAUGGGCCCGCGGCCUAUCAGCUUGUUGGUGGGGUAAUGGCCUACCAAGGCGACGACGGGUAGCCGGCCUGAGAGGGUGACCGGCCACACUGGGACUGAGAUACGGCCCAGACUCCUACGGGAGGCAGCAGUGGGGAAUAUUGCACAAUGGGCGCAAGCCUGAUGCAGCGACGCCGCGUGAGGGAUGACGGCCUUCGGGUUGUAAACCUCUUUCAAUAGGGACGAAGCGCAAGUGACGGUACCUAUAGAAGAAGGACCGGCCAACUACGUGCCAGCAGCCGCGGUAAUACGUAGGGUCCGAGCGUUGUCCGGAAUUACUGGGCGUAAAGAGCUCGUAGGUGGU
rnacentral:rRNA from 1 species